GGAGAUUCUAAGCUGAAACACAUGUAAAUAAGUGGUAUUUAUAAACCAAUCUUAUCUAACAAAAAAGAGGUUUAAAUAAAUUAUAUAUAUUAGGGAAAUCCAGAUAAAAUAGGAAAAUAAUUAAAUCCUUGUUGAAGUAGGAAAACUAUAGCCAAUCCUAAAUGAAAUAGGAACAUAAUUUAAAGUAACUUUUCACUAAAACUGGCCAAAAUAAAAGUAAAAAUAGGUGGGAAUACGAUGGACUGCUGAAAACCCACUUGGAGACAUAUUUUGGACCCAAAAACUAAACUUCACACUGCUCCCCAAAGGGAAACACGCCCAGGGCAUGUUCGCAUGUUUCUAGACCUU
rnacentral:misc_RNA from 1 species